rnacentral:rRNA from 1 species
GACGAACGCUGGCGGCGUGCUUAACACAUGCGAGUCGAACGGAAAGGCCCUGCUUUUGUGGGGUGCUCGAGUGGCGAACGGGUGAGUAACACGUGAGUAACCUGCCCUUGACUUUGGGAUAACUUCAGGAAACUGGGGCUAAUACCGGAUAGGAGCUCCUGCUGCAUGGUGGGGGUUGGAAAGUUUCGGCGGUUGGGGAUGGACUCGCGGCUUAUCAGCUUGUUGGUGGGGUAGUGGCUUACCAAGACUUUGACGGGUAGCCGGCCUGAGAGGGUGACCGGCCACAUUGGGACUGAGAUACGGCCCAGACUCCUACGGGAGGCAGCAGUGGGGAAUAUUGCACAAUGGGCGGAAGCCUGAUGCAGCAACGCCGCGUGCGGGAUGACGGCCUUCGGGUUGUAAACCGCUUUCGCCUGUGACGAAGCGUGAGUGACGGUAAUGGGUAAAGAAGCACCGGCUAACUACGUG